AUUGAACGCUGGCGGCAGGCUUAACACAUGCAAGUCGAGCGGAGAUGAGGUGCUUGCACCUUAUCUUAGCGGCGGACGGGUGAGUAAUGCUUAGGAAUCUGCCUAUUAGUGGGGGACAACAUUCCGAAAGGAAUGCUAAUACCGCAUACGUCCUACGGGAGAAAGCAGGGGAUCUUCGGACCUUGCGCUAAUAGAUGAGCCUAAGUCGGAUUAGCGGGUUGGUGGGGUAAAGGCCUACCAAGGCGACGAUCUGUAGCGGGUCUGAGAGGAUGAUCCGCCACACGGGGACUGAGACGCGGCCCAGACUCCUACGGGAGGCAGCAGUGGGGAAUAUUGGACAAUGGGGGGAACCCUGAUCCAGCCAUGCCGCGUGUGUGAAGAAGGCCUUAUGGUUGUAAAGCACUUUAAGCAAGGAGGAGGCUACUGAGACUAGUACUCUUGGAUAGUGGACGUUACUCGCAGAAUAAGCACCGGCUAACUCUGUGCCAGCCGCCGCAGUAAGAC
rnacentral:rRNA from 1 species